CGGAGUGUAGCGCAGCUUGGUAGCGCAUCUGGUUUGGGACCAGAGGGCCGUAGGUUCAAAUCCUACCACUCCGACCA
rnacentral:tRNA from 1 species